rnacentral:lncRNA from 1 species
GAAUGGAAGGCAGGGGCAUGUGUCACUGGAGUCUAGCCACCAUAAAUGUCAAUGUGAGGAGUAAAGACCAGCUGGUGUUGUUAUUCCAUUUAUGAGAGCCUGGGAAGAAUUGAGAGCAUGACCAUCUUGGAAGAGACCAGAUCAUCUCAGAAGUGACCUCGCUGGAGCCAGAGCACAUUCCCAUGGAUCCUGAAGGCCCUUAUUUUUCACCCAGGCCAUGGGGACCAUUUUGUAUCAACAAGGAGAAGCUUGUGCAGUUGGCUCCCCUCCUGCCUGUGCUGUCUGGACUCUGCUGACCGUCUUAUUUUGCAUGAACAGAGCUGUCCUGGUCCCAGACAUCUUUUGCUGGUAUGGGGACCAGAAGUCAGAACCGGAGGUCCAACAGUCCCUGGAGCUGGAGAUGAAUGUGCUUAGGGCAUGGAGUGUGGGGAUUCUUCAGUUUUCCUACAGAAAAAUGCCCACUGCAUAUUUCAUGGUAGCCAACUGUAAUUUUGUCUCGUUUGAUUGUCUUGAUUUCUCUUCAUCCUCCAGAAGAGCAUCUGUUCAACAUGAAUACAGUAUGCAGCUCUUCCCUUGUUUGGUGAGAAAGGACAGCCUGCCAGUAGGAAGAACAGAAGCCUUGCUUUCAUCAGGCUGCAGCUUUUGCAUUCUGGAUGGUCCAGGCCCUCCCCUGGCUAUCAAGGCCAGCGGGGAAGCCAGCGACUGACGUGGCCCGUGGCUGUCUGGCCCCAUUCUUCUUGACAAUGGGUGGACGAAGAGAGAAGUGUUGGACUGUUUACUGCUCACGACAUUUAAAAAGGUAAUGAAUGUACAAACAGCGUGAAAAAAAAGAGGCCUCUGGAAGGUGGCUUAGAGUCGGGAGAGAAAAUUCAAACAAUUUUAGCCUCAAAAAGUCAACAUCAGACACCCUUCUACUAAGGACCUACAAACAAACAGAGUUACUCUGUACACACAUUAAGCGAUGCAGUGCCCUGCCGCCGUGACUUUGACCUCACAGGGCCCGGCUCCCACACGUGCAGGCGCAGGACUGCAGGUUUGGGGGUCCGGGUCUUUGGAUCCCCAGAGCUUGCCGUCGUAGGACUUUCACUUCUGGCUUGUCUGGGGGUCAGAGAGGGACGGAGAGAAAAUGUGAUGCAGGCCGGAACUGACAUGCCCUUGACCUGAAGAUCAAGCCAUACCGAGUAUGUGGACCAUCUCUGUUCCAUCUCCUCUCAACUCAGCAGACAGCAUUACAGACAGAUGCCUCUGGUGCCCAGACAUCCCACAUCCCACAUAAUUAAAAGGCAGAGGGUUACCCUUUAAAAAAGUAAAUAAUUAAUAAUGGUAGAGGAAUCUAGCAUCUUAGGCUUCUACUCACACGGGCCUAGACAUGUCGGUUAUUUGCUUUCCUUCCAAGCAUUGAAUAAUAUGAUUGAAAUAGGAAAUAAAUUCUCCCAUUUUCUUUUCUUUUUUUCUAUU